GUUCCUGUAGUUGAAGUAUACAACGGUGGUUUUUCAGGCCACAGGUCUUGGAGCGAGGCCGGGCAGGAACU
rnacentral:tRNA from 1 species